rnacentral:rRNA from 1 species
UACGUAGGGUGCAAGCGUUAAUCGGAAUUACUGGGCGUAAAGCGUGCGCAGGCGGUUGUGCAAGACAGAGGUGAAAUCCCCGGGCUUAACCUGGGAACGGCCUUUGUGACUGCAUGGCUAGAGUGUGUCAGAGGGGGGUAGAAUUCCACGUGUAGCAGUGAAAUGCGUAGAUAUGUGGAGGAAUACCGAUGGCGAAGGCAGCCCCCUGGGAUAACACUGACGCUCAUGCACGAAAGCGUGGGGAGCAAACAGG